UUUGCAUGAUGAAAAACCAUUCAUUCAGUUCUGCUUCUGAACUACAAUGAUGAUACCCAUACCAAUACCAAAAUACCUCUGAUGC
rfam:Verticillium longisporum isolate VL1 genome assembly, contig: scaffold_32